rnacentral:lncRNA from 1 species
AAUUUAUUGAACCUGUUCUAUGAGCCAGGCACGGCUCUAGACACUAGAGAUAUAGAAAUGAACAAGACAAAGUCCCUGCUCUCACGAAACUCAUAUUCUAGUGGAGGCAGGCAAUAAACAAUGGUUGUAUUGUGAUAACUAUUCUGCAGAGAAAUAGAAUAGCAUGAUGUCAUAGAGAGUAUGGAAGUAACCACUUUAGAUUUGGUGUUCAAGGAAUGUCUGUAUGAAGCAGUGAGAUUUUAACUGUGCAGAGCAGGGCUGAGAGCACUCCAGGCAGAGGCAAUAACCAGUGCAAAGGCCUCAGGAAGAGAACAGGCUCAGUGCAUUUGAGGAAAAAGAUCAUGGUAGCUGCAGCACGGUGGUCAAGGGAGAGAAUGAUAGAAGAUGAGACCACAGGACAGAAGGAAGUCUCAUUAGGGAGAUCAGAAGGAAGUGGAAUCACAUCUUUAAAGUGCUGGAGGAAAAGAACCAUCAACCCACGAUUCUAUAUCCAGUAAAAUAUCCUUCAGGAGUAAAGGUGAAAUAAAGGCAUUCUCAGAUCAAGGAAAACUAGCAGAAUUCCUUGACAGCAGGCCUGCUCUAAAAUAAUUGCUAAAAGAAGUUCUUCAGACAGAAGGGAAAUGAUACCAGCAGUUGACUUGGAAUAUCUGGAAUGAAGGAUGACCAAAAGAAAUGGUAAAAUCUG